rnacentral:lncRNA from 1 species
CUCCCGCGCGCAUCUUCCAUUUGCAGAACAAUUCAUUCGCCGCGCGGGGUUGAGCGCGAAGCCGCCCUCGGCGGGGUCCCCGGUGGGACGGGCGCGACGGCCCCUCCUCGUCCUCGGGCCCCGGCCGCGCCGCGCUCGCUCCCCUUGGCACCCGCGGCCCGCGGCUCUGGUCCCGUCCGGAGGGUGACAAGUCCGCCGGGACCCGGGCGGGCACUCACCUCUCGGGGCGCUGCCGCCCGCCGCGCUCACACAGCCCCGGCCGCCCCGCGAGCUCCCUGCCCGCCGCCGCCGCCGCCGCCGCUCCUCAGCCGGCAAGCCUCAGCUCAGAAUCGCUACCGCCACCACACCGCCGAGAGAUUCCCAGCCUCAAGGAAGCAACAUUAGGAGGUGCACAACUUCCCUAAACUUCAGACGCAUGCAACUAUUUCACCUUCUAACGUAGCCCACCAAUCGGGUUUCCUGCACCUCCUAGAUGGACCAUCUCCAGCAUGCUCCAAAACCACAUGAAAACCCCCAACUCCUGACAAUGUGACUCUCUGGAGGGCUUGUACCCUAUUUCCUCUGAGUGUGUACUUCUUUGGCUCUGCCUAAUAAAGCCUUCUAAGGACUCUCAUCCUAGAAUUCUUUCCUGUGGCACAAGUCAGCAAACCUACAGCUUUGCUGACUCUGGUGAGACCCCUUAAACCGUCUGGUGAAAAGGACAGAUCCCAUGUUGAAGGGGAAAUGACAGGCAAGUCGUGUGAGUGUCUAAAAAAACCCCUCUUUUUAGCUAUUUGAGCAAUAACAGAUUUAGAAACUGGUUCUUAGGGUAAAUUUAUCUCGAGUCCAUUGCCAAGUUCAUUCUCAUCUAAUGAAGAGAAAACAGUGGGGGCCCUAAUCAUUCCAACUUUGACAGUCAAAAGUUACAAAGUUUAUAAGGAAGCAGAAAAAGGAAGGAGAGCAAAGCACAGGGGCCUGUACUAAGAAACAUAGUAACCAAGUUAGUCAAAGAAAACCAACUUGUCCCAGCUAAACAAGUUUAGCUUUGUCAGAAAAGUGCACUAAGUAUAUAUUUAGAGUCACCUUUCUCCUGCAAACCAAUGAAUUGCCAGUUUGGUGAGAAAUCAUAUUAUUUAAUUAUGCCAAAACCUAGAAUUAUAGUUUAGUAAUUACACAGCAGUGUAUAAUUUCUUAGGUACACAGAACUGCAAAAAAAAGUUAAACACAGAGUGCAAGAAUUAAUGCCCAUUUACCAAUUAAAAACAUAUGUUUUUGUAAUAGACAUUCCUGGUUUAAUGAACUGUUUAACAAUUUAUUAUGUUCUGUUACACAUUAC